GUACCGUGAGGGAAAGGCGAAAAGAACCCCGGCGAGGGGAGUGAAAAAGAACCUGAAACCGUGUACGUACAAGCAGUGGGAGCACGCUUAGGCGUGUGACUGCGUACCUUUUGUAUAAUGGGUCAGCGACUUAUAUUCUGUAGCAAGGUUAACCGAAUAGGGGAGCCGAAGGGAAACCGAGUCUUAACUGGGCGUUAAGUUGCAGGGUAUAGACCCGAAACCCGGUGAUCUAGCCAUGGGCAGGUUGAAGGUUGGGUAACACUAACUGGAGGACCGAACCGACUAAUGUUGAAAAAUUAGCGGAUGACUUGUGGCUGGGGGUGAAAGGCCAAUCAAACCGGGAGAUAGCUGGUUCUCCCCGAAAGCUAUUUAGGUAGCGCCUCGUGAAUUCAUCUCCGGGGGUAGAGCACUGUUUCGGCAAGGGGGUCAUCCCGACUUACCAACCCGAUGCAAACUGCGAAUACCGGAGAAUGUUAUCACGGGAGACACACGGCGGGUGCUAACGUCCGUCGUGAAGAGGGAAACAACCCAGACCGCCAGCUAAGGUCCCAAAGUCAUGGUUAAGUGGGAAACGAUGUGGGAAGGCCCAGACAGCCAGGAUGUUGGCUUAGAAGCAGCCAUCAUUUAAAGAAAGCGUAAUAGCUCACUGGUCGAGUCGGCCUGCGCGGAAGAUGUAACGGGGCUAAACCAUGCACCGAAGCUGCGGCAGCGACGCUGAUGCGUUGUUGGGUAGGGGAGCGUUCUGUAAGCCUGUGAAGGUGUGCUGUGAGGCAUGCUGGAGGUAUCAGAAGUGCGAAUGCUGACAUAAGUAACGAUAAAGCGGGUGAAAAGCCCGCUCGCCGGAAGACCAAGGGUUCCUGUCCAACGUUAAUCGGGGCAGGGUGAGUCGACCCCUAAGGCGAGGCCGAAAGGCGUAGUCGAUGGGAAACAGGUUAAUAUUCCUGUACUUGGUGUUACUGCGAAGGGGGGACGGAGAAGGCUAUGUUGGCCGGGCGACGGUUGUCCCGGUUUAAGCGUGUAGGCUGGUUUUCCAGGCAAA
rnacentral:rRNA from 1 species